rnacentral:lncRNA from 1 species
CUCUACUCGGGAGAGAAGACAAAAUAUGUCCGUCUUCACUGACAAGGACUUCUGGCAAAUUUGGAUGGAUGAAGCUUCGCGAGAAGACAACGAUGGAUUAUGAACUUCCUGAGGAAAUGAAUUUCAAAAGAAACCCCAAACAUCACGAACCACAAGCUGCUUUGUUUCCUUAUUCAUGACCUUCAUCUACCUUCUCUUCCAUAAAGCAAAUGGAAAUGUGUCAUUCUGA